ACGCUGGCGGCAGGCCUAACACAUGCAAGUCGAGCGGUAGAGAGAAGCUUGCUUCUCUUGAGAGCGGCGGACGGGUGAGUAAUGCCUAGGAAUCUGCCUGGUAGUGGGGGAUAACGUUCGGAAACGGACGCUAAUACCGCAUACGUCCUACGGGAGAAAGCAGGGGACCUUCGGGCCUUGCGCUAUCAGAUGAGCCUAGGUCGGAUUAGCUAGUUGGUGGGGUAAUGGCUCACCAAGGCGACGAUCCGUAACUGGUCUGAGAGGAUGAUCAGUCACACUGGAACUGAGACACGGUCCAGACUCCUACGGGAGGCAGCAGUGGGGAAUAUUGGACAAUGGGCGAAAGCCUGAUCCAGCCAUGCCGCGUGUGUGAAGAAGGUCUUCGGAUUGUAAAGCACUUUAAGUUGGGAGGAAGGGUUGUAGAUUAAUACUCUGCAAUUUUGACGUUACCGACAGAAUAAGCACCGGCUAACUCUGUGCCAGCAGCCGCGGUAAUACAGAGGGUGCAAGCGCUAAUCGGAAUUACUGGGCGUAAAGCGCGCGUAGGUGGUUAGUUAAGUUGGAUGUGAAAUCCCCGGGCUCAACCUGGGAACUGCAUUCAAAACUGACUGACUAGAGUAUGGUAGAGGGUGGUGGAAUUUCCUGUGUAGCGGUGAAAUGCGUAGAUAUAGGAAGGAACACCAGUGGCGAAGGCGACCACCUGGACUGAUACUGACACUGAGGUGCGAAAGCGUGGGGAGCAAAC
rnacentral:rRNA from 1 species